CAUUUGCAGAAAACCGUGAUGACCUGGAGGCCAAGGCGGCAGCAAAAAGGGUGCAUGUUACAAACCUCAAGCUCAUCCAACCAGCUGUUGAUGCCUCCAGUGAGGCAAAGGAAAAAAUGGAAAAGCUGGCAUCUAGGAAACGCAAACAAAACAAAAAAAUGGGAAGAAUACACAGUACAAUGAGAUACUGGCCAAGCAUUUACAGGAUGCACACAAGAAUGUGAAAAUGUAAUCGGGCCACUAAAAAACAGGCACAAAACGAAAACUGAGCUCCAGUUCCUCAGAGGACGAUUCAAUCUGCCUGUUAUCAGAAUUGAAGCGUGAAAAGGCAGAAAAAAAAAGCCUUCAGAGAAAAGGUUAUAAGGCUUGA
rnacentral:lncRNA from 1 species